rnacentral:rRNA from 1 species
GUUAUCCGGAUUUAUUGGGUUUAAAGGGUGCGUAGGCGGAUUAUUAAGUCAGUGGUGAAAGCCUGCAGCUUAACUGCAGAAUUGCCAUUGAUACUGAUGAUCUUGAGUAUGAUUGAGGUGGGCGGAAUGUGUCAUGUAGCGGUGAAAUGCUUAGAUAUGACACAGAACACCUAUUGCGAAGGCAGCUCACUAAGCCAUAACUGACGCUGAUGCACGAAAGCGUGGGGAGCAAACAGG